rnacentral:rRNA from 1 species
UACGGUGGGUGCGAGCGUUAAUCGGAAUUACUGGGCGUAAAGCGUGCGUAGGCGGUUCGUUAAGUCAGAUGUGAAAGCCCUGGGCUCAACCUGGGAACUGCAUUUGAAACUGGCGAACUAGAGUUGAGUAGAGGGGAGUGGAAUUUCAGGUGUAGCGGUGAAAUGCGUAGAUAUCUGAAGGAACACCAGUGGCGAAGGCGACUCCCUGGACUCAAACUGACGCUGAGGUACGAAGGUGCGGGGAUCAAACAGG